rnacentral:ncRNA from 2 species
UUCUUAUCCAGAGCGGCUGAGGGACUGGCCCUGUGAAGCCCGGCAACCUUCUUAGAUUUCUUAGAUUUCUAAGAAAGGUGCUAAUUCCUGCAGAAGAUUUUUUCUUCUGAAAGAUAAGAA